rnacentral:tRNA from 2 species
GCAGAGGGUAGUUUAACAAAGAAUCUUAGCUUUGGGAGUUAAGGGUGGGAGUUUGAUUCUCUCUUCUCUG